AUUGAACGCUGGCGGCAGGCCUAACACAUGCAAGUCGAACGAGAGGCGGACGGGUGAGUAAUGCCUGGGAAACUGCCUGAUGGUGGGGGAUAACAACUGGAAACGGUAGCUAAUAACGCAUACCCUCGGAUGUGCCAAGAUGGGAUUAGGUAGUAGGUUGGGUAAAGACUCGCCUAGGCGACGAUCCCUAGCUGGUGUGAAAGGAUGACCAGCCACACUGGACCGGAGACACGGUCCAGACUCCUACGGGAGGCAGCAGUGGGGAAUAUUGCACAAUGGACGCAAGCCUGUUGCAGCCAUGCCGCGUGUAUGAAGAAGGCCUUCGGGUUGUAAAGGACUUUCAGCGGGGAGGCGUUACCCGCAGAAUAAGCACCGGCUAACUCCGUGCCAGCCGCCGCGGUAAUUC
rnacentral:rRNA from 1 species